CUCCCGAGUAGCUGGGAUUACAGGUGCACACCACCAUGCCCAGGAGCAACCUGCCAGAGGACUAUUUUCUAUAAAUUUAAGCUGAACUAAUAUCUGUGGAAAUCUUAAGACUAAAGAAGAGUUGAUGAAUAUACUACAAUUAAAGUUGCCUUGUAAAUUGAAGAAUGAAGCAGAGGAUAAUGAACAUAUUGAAAUGAUUCCACAUGUUUUAUGCAUGACACAUUUGUAAUUAAAACGGAUCCUGAAGCUACUCCCACUAAGUGCUCGGUACUGGGCUAGGACAUGCUGCUCACUAUUGUGAGUGAUCGCAGCAACUCAGUUUUGAAUAUUUAUAUAUGUUGAGGUGAAGGAUCUUCCUUGACUACAUCUGAGGAGUUGUGGAAUCCUCAGAAGUAAGUCCUUCUAACAACACACUACAGUAUGAUGCGUUUCUGAUCCAAGCUGCUGUGAAUCCAUGUCAGGAGAAACCUUCAGUUGUGUUUUAAUAAAUGAAAACACAGUAGGGCUGAGAAAUCUGCAGCUACCUGGAAAAAUAAACUCCUUCCCCCUUGGAAACUGCUAAUUUCUUAAAUAUCCACAUUUGCAUUUAGUUUUGGGAAUUUAUAUUGUUUCAAUAAAAAUGAGCAUAUUUGGUUUUGGCUUUGUUCUGUGUUAUAUCCUUACCAUCUAACUCAAAAAGGGACCUCCCACUUACUAACACUAGGCAAUCUUCAUUUGUUAGGCAUGUGAGGUAGGCAUUACUCUCCCCACAGGACUAGAACUAAAGAGGUUAAAUAAAAUAAAAAUUGAAAAUGCAUCCUUUUGUAGUGUAUAGAUCUGAGUGGUUUAGGUUUCAGCAAAAAUACUUCCUUAUUUGAAAAUAAUCUAGAGAGUCCUAAUGUUCAGCUGUUUACCUCUUCAAGUCCUCUGUGGUCAUGGAUUUCCAUGGUAAACUGACAGAAUGAGAGCAACAAGAUUUUCUGAUCAUACCACAGAAAUGGAAAAUAAUAAAAGCAUAUACGAGGAAGAAAUUAAAUUUGGUAUUACAGUGUUAUC
rnacentral:lncRNA from 1 species